CAGUGCUCUGAAUGUCAAAGU
rnacentral:ncRNA from 3 species